CACGUAGGGGGCGAGCGUUGUCCGGAUUUAUUGGGCGUAAAGAGCUCGUAGGCGGUUUCGUAAGUCGGAUGUGAAAACUCCAGGCUCAACUUGGAGACGCCAUUCGAUACUGCGAUGACUUGAGUCCGGUAGGGGAGUGUGGAAUUCCUGGUGUAGCGGUGAAAUGCGCAGAUAUCAGGAGGAACACCGAUGGCGAAGGCAGGUCUCUGGGCAUUAACUGACGCUGAGGAGCGAAAGCAUGGGGAGCGAACAGG
rnacentral:rRNA from 1 species